CAGUCGCCACGGUAAUACGUAGGUGGCAAGCGUUGUCCGGAAUUAUUGGGCGUAAAGGGCUCGCAGGCGGUUUCUUAAGUCUGAUGUGAAAGCCCCCGGCUCAACCGGGGAGGGUCAUUGGAAACUGGGAAACUUGAGUGCAGAAGAGGAGAGUGGAAUUCCACGUGUAGCGGUGAAAUGCGUAGAGAUGUGGAGGAACACCAGUGGCGAAGGCGACUCUCUGGUCUGCAACUGACGCUGAGGAGCGAAAGCGUGGGGAGCGAACAGGAUUAGAUACCCCAGUAGUCCCUGUCUCUUAUAC
rnacentral:rRNA from 1 species